rnacentral:rRNA from 1 species
AUACGUAGGUGGCGAGCGUUGUCCGGAAUUAUUGGGCGUAAAGGGAGCGCAGGCGGGAAGGUAAGUCUAUCUUAAAAGUGCGGGGCUCAACCCCGUGAGGGGAUAGAAACUAUCAUUCUUGAGUGCAGGAGAGGAAAGCGGAAUUCCUAGUGUAGCGGUGAAAUGCGUAGAUAUUAGGAGGAACACCAGUGGCGAAGGCGGCUUUCUGGACUGUAACUGACGCUGAGGCUCGAAAGCCAGGGGAGCGAACGGGAUUAGAUACCCCGGUAGUCCUGGCCGUAAACGAUGAAUGCUAGGUGUAGGAGGUAUCGACCCCUCCUGUGCCGGAGUUAACGCAAUAAGCAUUCCGCCUGGGGAGUACGGCCGCAAGAUUAAA